AGAGAAGUCAAACUUCUAAGUAGGAAGAAAGUUAACAAAAGAUGUGCAAGACCUCUACUCUGAAAACUACAAAACAGUGCUGGGAAGAAUUAUAGAGCACCAAAAUAAAUAGAUAUUCUAUGCUCAUGGAUUGAAGUACUGCAUAAUGGUAAGAUGACAGUUCCCCACAAAUUGAUAUCUAGAUUCAAUGAAAUCAAAAUCCCACAAGGCUAUCUUGUAGAAAUUGGCAACUACAUAUAUGAAAAUGCAACAGACUCUUAAGUAGCCAAGAUAAUUUUGAAGAAGAAAAAUAAAAUUGGAGCACUUGUACUACCCAAUGUCAAGACUUGCUCUAAGGCUACAACAGUUAAGAGAGUAUGGUACUAGAGUUAGGAUAAACAACAAAUAGAUCAAUAGACAUGUCCAGAAAUAGACUCACAUAUAUAUUGUUAUAGGCUUUUCAGCAAAAACAAGCUAUUCAAUAGAAAAAGGAAAGAUUUUUCAGUUGGAGUUGAAGUAACUGGAUGUCUGGUAAAAAGCAAUGUUGAUGCCUUCUUCAUACUGUGUACAAUUUAUUCGAAAUGUAAAUGUGAAUGGCAAAACAAUACAUCUUGUAAAAGGAAACACAGACUAUCUUCAUGACAUUGGGGUAGACAAGGAUAUCUUAGGCGAAGAUAUCUCAGGAAGGUUAAACAACAAAACUGACAAAUUUCAUCAAAAUUAGAUACUUCUCAUCAAAAAGAUACUUUUAAAGUGAAAAGGCAAGCCACAGCCUAAGAGAAAAUAUUCACAAUACACAGAACUAACAAAGGAAAGCAAAGAACAUUUUAAACCAUUGUAACAUCUACCCAGUUUAACAAUGAGUGAAUUGAAUACAUACUUCACAGAAGCUCUCCAGAUACAGGGGUAGCAUAGGAAGUGGCACUCAAACAUCAGCCAUCAGGGAAUGUAGAAUGAAACCACAAUGAAAUACCACUGCAUACCCGCCAAAUGGUGAGAAUGUGGAACAACUGAUAGAAGUCCAAGAUGGUUUAAUCACCUCAGGAAACAGUUUGCCGGUUGCUUAUAAAGGUAAACAUAAUGCCUACCCUGUGACUUAGUGAUUCCACUUUUAAAGAUCUACCCAAGAUAAAUGAGGGUAUGUUUUUACAAUAAGACUUGUACAAGAAUAGCAGUUUUAUUUCUAAUAUCUCCAAUCUGACACUACCCAAAUAACUGUCAACAAGCUAAUAAUCAAGUAAUGGUAUAUUUAUACAUUGGAUACUAGUCUGCCAUUAAAAGAAUGGGCUGGGCUUAAUGGCUAACACCUGUGAUCCUAACAAUUUGGGAGGCCAAGGCAGGAUCACUUGAGCCCAGGAGUUCAAGACCAUCCUGGGCAAGAUGGCAAGACACCAUCUCUACAGAAAAAUUUAAAAAUCAGCUGGGCAUGGUGGUACACGCCUAUAGUCCCACCUACUCAGCAGGCUGAAGUAGGAGGAUCCUUUGAGCCCAGGCGUUCAAGCCUGCAGUGAGUUGUGAUCAUGCCACUGCACUCUAGCCUGAGUGACAGACUGAGACCUUGUCUCUAAAAAUAAUAAAAAUGAUACACUGGCAAAACAAUGUAGGUAAAUCUUUAAAUCAUUGUUGAACAAAAGAAGCUAGACAUAUUCCAUUUAUAUGAAGCUCAAAAACAAAUAUGGAAUGGUUAUCUUUGGGGGUGAGUAUAGACUGAAGAAGAGCAUAGGAGAACUUUCUGGAAUGAUGGAAUGUUCUAUAUCUCGAUUGCAGUAGUAGUAACAUAUACAUAUAUAUGUAUGUGUGUAUAUAUUUUAAAAUAUAGUGAGCUGUAUACUUGGGAUAUAUGCAUUUUGCUGUAUGUAAAGUAUGCCUCAAUAAAGUGCUGGGGAAAG
ensembl:lncRNA